UACGAGUGGUGCAAGCGUUAUUCGGAGUGAUUGGGCGUAAAGGGUGUGUAGGCGGCAUAUUAAGUCAACUGUUAAAUUUCUCGGCUUAACCGAGGGCGAGCGGUUGAUACUGGUGUGCUUGAGGGUGGAAGAGAGAAGCGGAAUUCUCGGAGUAGCGGUAAAAUGCGUAGAUCUCGAGAGGAACACCGAUGGCGAAGGCAGCUUCUUGGUCCAUUCCUGACGCUGAGCCACGAAAGCAUGGGGAGCAAACAGG
rnacentral:rRNA from 1 species